rnacentral:rRNA from 1 species
AGCAUUAUACCGUGAAACUGCGAAUGGCUCAUUAAAUCAGUUAUCGUUUAUUUGAUAGUACCUUACUACUUGGAUAACCGUGGUAAUUCUAGAGCUAAUACAUGCUAAAAACCCCAACUUCGGGAGGGGUGUAUUUAUUAGAUAAAAAACCAAUGCCCUUCGGGGCUCCUUGGUGAUUCAUAAUAACUUCUCAGAUCGCAUGGCCUUGCGCCGGCGACGGUUCAUUCAAAUUUCUGCCCUAUCAACUUUCGAUGGUAAGGUAUUGGCUUACCAUGGUUUCAACGGGUAACGGGGAAUUAGGGUUCGAUUCCGGAGAGGGAGCCUGAGAAACGGCUACCACAUCCAAGGAAGGCAGCAGGCGCGCAAAUUACCCAAUCCCGACACGGGGAGGUAGUGACAAUAAAUACUGAUACAGGGCUCUUUAGGGUCUUGUAAUUGGAAUGAGUACAAUUUAAACCUCUUAACGAGGAACAAUUGGAGGGCAAGUCUGGUGCCAGCAGCCGCGGUAAUUCCAGCUCCAAUAGCGUAUAUUAAAGUUGUUGCAGUUAAAAAGCUCGUAGUUGAACCUUUGGCCUGGCUGGCGGGUCCGCCUCACCGCGUGCACUCGUCCGGCCGGGCCUUUUCUUCUGGAGAACCGCAUGCCCUUCACUGGGUGUGUUGGGGACCAGGACUUUUACUUUGAAAAAAUUAGAGUGUUCAAAGCAGGCCUUUGCUCGAAUACGUUAGCAUGGAAUAAUAGAAUAGGACGUGCGGUCCUAUUUUGUUGGUUUCUAGGACCGCCGUAAUGAUUAAUAGGGACAGUCGGGGGCAUCAGUAUUCAAUUGUCAGAGGUGAAAUUCUUGGAUUUAUUGAAGACUAACUACUGCGAAAGCAUUUGCCAAGGAUGUUUUCAUUAAUCAGUGAACGAAAGUUAGGGGAUCGAAGACGAUCAGAUACCGUCGUAGUCUUAACCAUAAACUAUGCCGACUAGGGAUCGGGCGAUGUUACUAUUUUGACCCGCUCGGCACCUUACGAGAAAUCAAAGU